UACGAAGGGUGCAAACGUUGAUCGGAAUUAUUGGGCGUAAAGCGCACGUAGGCGGCUUAGCAAGUUGGAUGUGAAAGCCCUCGGCUCAACCGAGGAAGUGCAUCCAAAACUGCUGAGCUUGAGUACUUAAGAGGAUCGCGGAAUUCCCGGUGUAGAGGUGAAAUUCGUAGAUAUCGGGAGGAACACCAGUGGCGAAGGCGGCGAUCUGGGAAGAUACUGACGCUGAGGUGCGAAAGCGUGGGGAGCAAACAGG
rnacentral:rRNA from 1 species